rnacentral:rRNA from 1 species
CGGACGGGUGAGUAAUGUCUGGGAAACUGCCCGAUGGAGGGGGAUAACUACUGGAAACGGUAGCUAAUACCGCAUAACGUCGCAAGACCAAAGGGGGGAACCGUUGGGCCCCUUGCCAUCGGAUGUGCCCAGAUGGGAUUAGCUAGUAGGUGGGGUAACGGCUCACCUAGGCGACGAUCCCUAGCUGGUCUGAGAGGAUGACCAGCCACACUGGAACUGAGACACGGUCCAG